GGCGACCGCCGGCAGUAGAGCGGUGGCCAGGCCGCUGGCCUUGCUCUGGCGAUGUGGUGGCCCAGGAGGUGGCAGGACGGUCAAGACCAGCGCGAGGGUCCUGGGCAGGGCCCGACAGUGGUUGUGGCCAGUGAGAAUGUGCAGUGUUGUAUUGCAGAAGAAGCUAAUAAGCUUAUCUGGUCUCUUGUUUCAGUGCCUCUAGGGGAUCCACGUUCAGAAGCUGACUCUGCAGGCGAGACCAACGUUAUUUUCCCGGUGGCUGUGUUCAAAACCACCCAAAGGGUUUGAGAAAUACUUUAAGAGGAGUGGAAGGAACAAACUCAGAAACAUCAACAGCACCAAAAAAAGGUCUCUCUCUGUCACCCAGGCUGGAGUGCAGUGGCACGAUGUCGGCUCACUGCAAGCUCUGCCUCCUGGGUUCACGCCAUUCUUCUCAUUCUCCUGCCUCAGCCUCCCGAGUAGCUGGGACUACAGCCGCCCGCCACCACGCCUGGGUAAUUUUUUUGUAUUUUUAGUAGAGAUGGGGUUUCACCGUGUUAGCCAGGAUGGUCUCGAUCUCCUGAUCUCAUUAUCUGCCCGCCUGGGCCUCCCAAAGGGCUGGGAUUACAGGCAUGAGCUACUGCGCCCGGCCAAGGAAUGUUUCUUUGAAGACUCAUGUUUGUCCUUAAAAUUUUGCAAAUUUUUACUCCAUCUUGUAAUAUGUUUGCCAUUCCUGGGGUCACCUUGGCCUUCUCUGGCCUUUCAUGGUAUUAUUUUACAGUUGUUGGAGUAGCACUAUAUUUGUGAAGGGGACAGUGUCAUGGCUUACUUGUCCUAGAACAUUACAGGAAGAGGCUGGUAGGUCCGUGGGUCACAAGUGUACGUAGGAGGCCAGAUUUUUUGGAGGAGAGGCAGACUCUGCUUAGAACAGGUGGUUUGUGUUCCCUGGUUCUCUUGAGAAGGGGGACCACCCAUACCAGUCUGUCUUAUCAUUUUCUUCCUUUCUUUCUUUCCCCUAAUUACAGCCAGUUUUGGGACUGUUACCCCAAAAAAGUUUACUAUUAAAGCUCAAUAUGAAGCCAGCAAGGUGAAAUUUUAGGGAUUUUAGAUGUAUCUGAAGCUACUUCUCAGCAAUAUCUCCCCAGCCUCAUCCUUUUCCUGUUGUCUGUUUAUUUCCAGAAGGCACUGGUGUUAUUAAAAUUGUGUGUUGGAAAGUGUUUUUCUGUUUUCUGAAUCCUCUUUCUUUGGAAAAUCAUAUGUAAUUGCUUUUUGAAGUCUUUGUUUUCUCUCAGAGACUGGUGAACUAGAGAAUGCCGAGUCUGGAGGAGAUGGAGGCAGGAGAGGAGGGAAGCGGGAUGACGUUGCCUGGUGGAGGCGGAUGCAGAAGGGGACUUCUGCAAUCUGGCCCUUUUGGGGGCAGGCGUUGCCAUGGGAUUUUUCUACCUCUAUUUUCGAGAUCCUGGAAGAGAAAUCACUUGGAAGCACUUUGUAUAGUAUUACCUGGCCAGAGGUCUGGUGGACCAGCUGGAAAUCCUGAACAAUUUGUGCGUGUUAUUCCUGCCCCUGGGAUCUCUUCUGAAGUGAGGGGUGAAUUUAAGGCUGAGUAUUCCAGACAUAAGUUUAUUUCGUGUAAAAAUGUAGUUUUCUAUUUUUUUCAGUAAAAUACUCCCUUAGUGUCCA
rnacentral:sRNA from 1 species